AGCGAACGCUGGCGGCAGGCCUAACACAUGCAAGUCGAACGAACCUUCCGGGGUUAGUUGCGGAUGGGGGUGUCGCACGUGGGAACGUUCCGUUAUGUUUGGAAUAACUCUGGUACACUGGUGCUAAUGUCGAAUGUGCCCUGCUAGGGCAAGAUUAAUCGCCCUUAGAGCGGCCCGCGUUGGAUUAGCUAGUUGGGUGAGGUAAUGGCUAACCAAGGCGACGUUCAGUAGCUGGUCUGAGAGGAUGAUCAGCCACAUUGGGACUGAGACACGGCCCAAACUCCUACGGGAGGCAGCAGUGGGGAAUCUUGCGCAAUGGGCGAAAGCCUGACGCAGCCAUGCCGCGUGAAUGAUGAAGGUCUUAGGAUUGUAAAAUUCUUUCACCGGGGACGAUAAUGACGGUACCCGGAGAAGAAGCCCCGGCUAACUUCGUG
rnacentral:rRNA from 1 species